ACGCACGCUGGCGGCGUGCUUCACACAUGCAAGUCGCACGGAAAGGCCCUGCUUUUGUGGGGUGCUCGAGUGGCGAACGGGUGAGUAACACGUGAGUAACCUGCCCUUGACUUUGGGAUAACUUCAGGAAACUGGGGCUAAUACCGGAUAGGAGCUCCUGCUGCCUGGUGGGGGUUGGAAAGUUUCGGCGGUUGGGGAUGGACUCGCGGCUUAUCCGCUUGUUGGUGGGGUAGUGGCUUACCAAGGCUUUGACGGGUAGCCGGCCUGAGAGGGUGACCGGGCACAUUGGGACUGAGAUACGGCCCAGACUCCAACGGGAGGCAGCAGUGUGGAAUAUUGCACAAUGGGCGGAAGCCUGAUGCAGCAACGCCGCGUGCGGGAUGACGGCCGUCGGGUUGUAAACCGCUUUCGCCUGUGACGAAGCGUGAGUGACGGUAAUGGGUAAAGAAGCACCGGCUAACUACGUG
rnacentral:rRNA from 1 species